rnacentral:snRNA from 1 species
GUGCUCGCAUCAGCAGCACAUAUACUAAAAUUGGAAUGAUACAGAGGAGAUUAGCAUGGCCCGUGUGCAAGGAUGGCAGACAGAAGUGAUCUACAGAUUC